rfam:Corynebacterium sp. HMSC28B08 Corynebacterium_spHMPREF3098-1.0_Cont615.2, whole genome shotgun sequence.
GGGGUCGAUUUGGUUUCGACUUCGUGCAUUGAGCCAGGGGAAGCGUGCCGGUGCAGGUAGGAGACCACCGUUAAGCGUCGCUACAAACCUAUAAGCGCCGAGAACACUCAGCGCGACUACGCCCUCGCUGCCUAAAUACAGCGACCGCGUGUCUGUCAGUCCGGGAUGGUCCCUGUCCCGGGUACUGGCAUCGACUUAAGGGACUUGCUGCAUUAUCUUGUUGCUCGGGUGAUGCGGGACUUCUAGGGCAACUGGGCCCGUCAUCCAGACCUGUUCGUGGGAUCUGGAGGGCCGAGUAGAGAUAAGGCGCGAACUGCGCACGGAGAAGCCCUGGCGAGGUCGCGAAGGACCCGGGUUCAAUUCCCGGCGGCUCCACCA